UUCCUACCCCCUUCGUCCGAAAAUACUUGUCAUCAAAAUGGAUAAAAAAGGAUGUAUCUAGAACUAAAAUACGUCUAGAUACAUCUCCUUUUAUUUAUUUUGAUGACAAGUAUUUCCGGACGGAGGGAGUACUAA
rfam:Triticum urartu cultivar G1812 contig529069, whole genome shotgun sequence.